UCGGGUUUCUAAAAGCUAUUUCAACCCCCCUCCCAGUUACUGCCACCCUCUCCCAGGUCUAGAGAGGGGUACCCACGGUGGAGGGAGGUGGGAGGCCGAGACGGCCCCGGGGGUCGGCGGAGACCCAGCGGGAGCAGGGGGAAAUCGGAAGAGCUGGGGGCAUGGAGCGGGCGAGUUUGGAGCGGAAUGAGCCGGGAGCCCUACGUUGUGGAAGGAAGACAACAGUAUAGGACCAUCAGCAGGACCGGACAGAGAGGGGCACGUAAGCAGUAAUUACUGGAUGGCAUAGUAAUUCUACUAAAAAUUAAAAUGCCACUUAUUGGAAUGGUGUGUGAACACUCUAAAGCAACCCGGGAAGAAGACAGCAGUCAAGAAGACCAAGGAAGGAAAUGGAGGAGGGAUGACCCCACCAUUACAGGCAGGGAAGGACUGACCAAAGAGACAGAAAUGUAGUCUAGGAAAUGUGUCAUCUUAGAAAGGAACGGGAAGGGGCUGGAGAGGUGGCUCAGAAGUAAAGAGCAGUGGAUGCUCUUUCAGGGGACCUGAGUUGGCCUCCUAAUGUCUUCAGGUACCUCCUAACUGCAUGUAACUCCAGCUCCGGGAGAUUCUGGAUUCUUCUGGUCUCCACGGCACUGCGUUCACGCGCACGCGCGCGCGCACACACACACACACACACACACACACACAAAUUAAUCUUAGAAAAGCAUAGGAAGCCUGAUUUUUUGUUUGUUUGUUUGUUUUGGGGUUUUUUUUUUGUUUGUUUUGUUUUGUUUUUGAGACAGGGUUUCUCUGUAUAGCCCUGGCUGUCCUGGAACUUGUAGACCAGGCUGGCCUUGAACUCAGAAAUCCGCCUGCCUCUGACUCCCGAGUGCUGAGAUUAAAGGUGUGCACCACCACACCCGACAAGGAAGCCUGUUUUAAGAAGUGAUUCCAUGGAGGAGUUCUGCGGCGGCUCAGGGCUUGACUAAACAGUGGACCUCAGGGUCCCAUUUCUCUCAGUAGACAAGAGAGGCUAAACCAGGCUGCAGGUGACAGGAAGAAUUGAAUAAACUGAAAGCAAAGGGCAGCCUUCUAAUUACGCUUCGUGGCUAUGUGGACAACCUGGAGAAGUCUGGAAACAAGCCAGAAGCCCGAAGCCAGCAGUAGAGCUCUGACUGGCUUGUAUGCCUAGAAAGGAAGGGCUCUUCUUUCGCCUCACGGGCACAAAUGGGACCCACGAGCGCCGAUUUCAGACUAUUCUGAUCCCUUCAAAAAGAAAGUUAGGAGUCCAGGCUACUUCACUUUGGUGAUAGUAAUCAAACCCUAAUCACGGUGCAGCCACAAGUCACAGAGACCGAAAUAGCAGACUUAUGACAGACAAGGAUGGAGACAGCUAAGGAACUGGCUAUUAAUCACCAGUCCCUCUGCUCACAGCCCAUUGGACCCGAGGGUGAAGGAUGAGGAGGAUGGAAGAAAAUGGGAGUGGCGCUUGCUGCAAAGGGUCUCGAAGGGUCUCAGCACCUGCGAACUGGCUCCAAUCCAAACUCCACUAUUCAUGGUCAAGUUCACAUAGGGCUUGGGGUUCUAACAAGAUGUGACUAAACUUACGUUUUCUAUCUUAUUGAUUGUUGUUGAUGCACGUCUGGUGGUACAUGCUUGAAGAACACAGACACCCUGAGAAGAAAGACAUAGCUCCCCAGAUUCCAGCACGCACUUCUCUGUGAGCUACCACUGUAGCUGAAGAUACAGGGCUCAGGAGGAACACUUGGCCUUCGCUCUGAACUUCAGGCCCACGUAACCAUCAGCCGACAUGACACUGCAAAGGCACCUUAGCUCUGCUGUCCCAGAUGGCCAAGCCAACCUUAUUCCAGAAGCUACUUCUCCUGAUGUAAGAACCAGACACAAAGGACAACCUCUGCCUCACCCUCCUUCACACAACACUGAGUCUGUCAUCUUUGAAGCAUUUCUCAAGCCAUGUUUAUUCCCCUGGCCUACGUGGAACACAGCCAGGGUACGGAACACAACCUCAGCACCGGUCUGCUUUCCUCUCCCCAUUUCUGGUCUUUCUCAGAUGCCCAGAGCUCCUCUGUCCCAAUGACUGCUUAUCAAAGAUCUCACUGUGUCCCCACCCAAGGGGUCUUUGGCCACCCUGUGAAGUCCUAGUGGCCUGGAGUUUGCCCCCUUUCCCAGACACCUUAGGGUUCCUGCUGCAGCUCCAGAACUGGGGGAGCAGGGUUGGGGGUGAGUGUGUGUGUGUGUGUGUGUGUGUGUGUGUGUGUGUGUGUUGACUCACCCUGCAGUAUUCUCUCCAUCUGCACAGGUCCCCAGUCUCUGAGACUGAAUCACCCCUCUUUCACUAUGCCUCUGCACAGCUGCCCUUGUGCUCCCUCUCCUUGCCCCGCCUCUUUUUAAGACAGUAUUAUGCAGCCCUGGCUGUCCUGGAACUUAUGUAAACCAGCCUGGCCUUGAACUUGCAGAGAUCCACCUGCCUUUGCCUCUGCCCCUGCCCCUGCCCCUGCCGCCCCUGCCCCUGCCUUUCUGCCUCUGCCUCUGCCUCUCUGCCUUUCUGCCUCUGCCUCUCUGCCUCUGCCUCUCUGCCUCUGCCUCUCAAGUGUCAGGGAUUAAUGCCUGCCACCUCCCCAGUCCCACCCCUCUCCAUCUACCAUGUGGGUUCCACGGGGCAAACCCAAGUCAUCAGGCUUGUUGGCCAGUGCCUUUAUCCACUGAGCCAAGCCGCUUGGUGUGUCUUUGAUGGUGAUUAUUUACAGGAGCUAUUCAGCAAGGUUAAAUGCUGGCAACCCAAUGAGGGGGUCUCUUGAUCCAAAACUGAGAAGUUGAGGCACUAUUUCAGAAUGACCAAAGACAGUAGAAGAAUCUAGAUAUGUCGAUGAUGAGAACAAUGAUAACUCCAAAAGCUGAGGGAAAUUAACUCAAAAUCUUCCAGCUUCCUUUUCCUUACCUAGUUUGGCGGACUCCAACUCUUGGGAUAGCUUUUUUUCUGGCCCCAAACUCACCUGAUUCGUCUGUCCACUGCCACACUGAAGAAUGAACAGCUGUCUCAGAGAGCUUGGCUCCAGAGCUCUGCAAAAAGAGGACACCUUGCCUUGAGCUGUGUUUCCAGAAUGUAUUGCAGCCCCCAGAGUCAUGUACUGUGACCAGGUGAGGACAUGCAUCUUCUGUUCUCCUGCACCCAGGGCCCCAGCAACCAAGGAUCUGGGGACAUGGCGGGUGUUUGGCAGGUUCGCACUCUGAAAAUAUUUGAUGAGACUCAGUAUAUGCUAAAUAAACACUGGAUCAAGUUCUUGGUCUCUCCUUUGGGGAAUUUACAGUCUAUCCUACAGAGAAGAUUGAAA
rnacentral:lncRNA from 1 species